CACACUCAAACAGCAUUUGUGAAAAUUCUUGACGUAAAGAAAAAAAAAGAAAAAAUGUGUCUAGUCUAAAUGUCAUAAUAAUGAUAAUAAUAAAUAGGUGUAUCCUAAAAUCGUAGAACACUGACUAGGGGGUAGAUGCUGAGGUGGAUCGCAAUAGAAGAAAGAAGAUGGUCGGCUAUAUCUCUCUCUCUCGAUACGUUUCUUACGGCCAGAAAUGAGGCAAAUAGGUGGGCCUAGCAAAGACGACUAAUCUCCACCGUCCUAACUCAAUACACACAAAUAUUCGUUUUUCUCUCCCACAGUCAGAGCUAGAGAGACACGUGUCGUUAUCACCAAAAGAUUCAUUGGCGCGUGUGUAUAUAUGGGUCCCAGUCGUCUCUGCUGUGAUUCCCCCAAAUCUGACGUCCGGGCUGCAGUUCGCCGCUGGUCUACUCAUCCGUCAAACGCCGGUUACACAGUGGAACAACGGCUGAAAGAUGGAAACAGUGUUGAAUCUGGACCACUAGGCUAGAUUAUUAAAAUAAAAAAUAAAAUAAAA